UGCUUUAUUUAUAUUAUCACUUUUUCAGCUUUCUGAAGCGGAACCACAAAUUUCAACUAGAAAAAAAGGUUUCAAGCGGAACCAUAAAUUAUCUCGCUUAUACUUGAUUUCUCUGCUUUGAUUCGACUUUGUCUUCAGUGUUGAAGUAUUAACUUAUUUAAUGACACGAAUUGUCAAAGAUUAUAAUUAAUAUGUGAUACGCAAUCUGGAGUGAUGAUAUUCAAGAAAGCAUCUUGGUCUAAGUUACAUAAAGAUAAAAAACUGAGAAUGAAUAGGAUUUUGAACAAGUUGCAUGAGAGAGCAAAUUAACAACAAGAGAAAGUGAAGGAGAACGUGUACUUUUCUUCAUUUCGAACAUGAGCUUUCAAAAUGCUCUAAGGGAGUAUGAACUCGAGAUUCCACUUGAACUGGUAUCUCUCCUAUCUUCUAUAUUUUCACUUUCUUUCUGGUGAUACAACUUGUGUUUGAGGUUAUAACUUUGAUGUUCUUUGCAAAAUCAAGUAUUAUAUGAUGUAGGCAACUUGAUAUAUCUCCUCCUGUCUCUUCACCAAGCAGAAGAAAAGCUUGUUUGGAUUCUUAAAAGCCUUAACUCUCAUUUAGAUUUUUACCGUUUAAGAAAAAAUUAGUAACUGAAAUCUUUAUUUUUUUAGUUAUAUUGGGUCAUCUUCGUUUGUUUUUUAAUUUUUUAAAAUGUUUAUAUUAGGUCAUUAAUUUUUUCAGAAGCUAUUUAGUUUCAAAAAAAUAUUUCUAGAGGCUACUAUCGUUCAUUCUCUCCUUUCCUUCUCGCUCUUUUCAUUUGCCAUCAACGAAUUCCAGUUUCUUAGUUUCAAAGUUUUGAUAACACACCCUAUACGUGUGAAUUAAUUACCCUUUUCUUUUCAUAUGCUGAAAGGUUGAUGGACAUAUGAAUGUGAUAUGAUAAAAAGUAUUAUUCAGUAUCUAAUGAUAAACUAAAUGAUAUCAAUCUGCUAUAUUUUUUCCCACACUCAAUUGAGAAAAGCAUAAUUGCUUCUUCAUGAUUAGGCAAUUUAAGCCGAUAUCCUCUAUUUUAUAAAAAUGGUUAUUAUAUUUUCUCAGUCUCACAGCCUACCUACUAAAUAGUAACUACUAUAUUAUAAUUUCGAGGUCAGGAGAGUUAAAAAAUAAUCUAGAAGUAAACUUUGUAAAGACAACUUUCUGUGUCUUAGAGCUUCUGAGAUUGACAAAAAGAACUUAGUUCUUCUCAGGAGUAGUGAUAGUUUAAAUGAUAAGGAGAAAAAAAAAAUUAAAAGAAAAAUAUAAUGAUUCUUCUACAAUCGAGAACUCUUUCGUGGAAAAAGAUGAAUACAGUAUUUUAACUGAGUUCAUUAUUUCAUCGACAAUUUAGUGGCAGACAUACAAGGAAAAUAAUCCUAUUCAACUCUACCUCUCGAGAUGGAUUCAUAAGAAUAUAAUUUCUUGAUGAUCAUUUAUUAUUUCACUCCUAGAAGUGAGCUAAGUCAUACUUUGUAUCUACUGUCAAAAGAUUCGUUUUAACUUAUAAAUUCUCCCAUUUAUAUUACAUAUAUUGUCCCUGGACAUGCAGAAACAUGAGCAAUUAUCCUGUGUCCACAAUUUAGACUGACAAUUUUAAUUGUUAUUCUAUGAAUUGAGUUACCGAGUAUUAUAUUUCUCGACCUAGCAACUGUUGUAUUUAGACUUGGUUGAUGCAGGUGUUUAAUGAACUACAAUAAGAUAUGUUGGAUGCUUUCUUGGAUGAUUUUUCAGACCGUCCAUCCACUUCAAAACACUAUAUGUAAUACUUCGAUGGACAAUUUUCUAAACCUUCCUUUGCCGGAUUAAACUGAUGCGAUGCUGGUAACAUAAAGAACAAGUUCUAAAUGAGGAUUACUUUUAAACUAUAGUAGUAGUUUGGUUCAAUUGUGUAUAAAUUUGAACAACCUUGCAAAGCAAACGAAGAAUUUGAUGAAGGAUGUUUGAUGAAAUCAAGAAUCUGUGUAUAAAGAUGUGAUUGUUGGAGAAGAGCUUGCAAUCAAGAAAAUGAAGUGGAAUGUCCUUGAACUCAGAAUCCCACACAAAGUGAAUUUUGUACUCAAAUUUCCAUAACAUUAGAUAUCCACUCAACAGUGGAUUUUUAUGCUAUCUAACUUUGCAGGCUCUCUUUUUUUCUUUACAAGAUUGCACUGAUUUUUCUUUUCUCUUUGGCUUGGUAAACCCUAGACCUCCAAACCUUCCCUCCCCAGAACAACAAUGCUUCCUUUCCCUUCACUAUUCGAACUCCAAACCUUUUGGUUGGAAAUGAGAUGCUCUUACAACUAGAGUACUUCCUUCUAUUGUUGCAAUUUGUACUUACUGAUUAAAAGAGGGUGGUCCUCUUUUUAAAUAUUUUUAGCUGUGGUACGUGUAAAUUUGUUAUACUAUGAUGAUUACACUUGCUCUA